rnacentral:lncRNA from 1 species
GGCCAGAUCCUCGCCAAAGUGAUCGAUUAUUGCAAGAAACACGCCGUCGUCGAUGGUGAUGGUGAUGAGUCUUCUGAGGAACUCAAGAACUGGGACACUGAGUUUACAAAAAAUAUGGAUCAAUCCACGCUCUUUAACAUGAUUUUGGCUGCUAAUUAUCUAAACAUCAAAAGUCUUCUUAAUCUCACUUGCCAGGCAGUUGCUGAUAAAACCAAAACUAUUGAUGAGUUUCACACUUUUUUGAACAUCGAGAACAAUUUUACACCCGAGGAAGAAGCACAGAUUUGCCAAGAAAACCUAUGGGCUUUUGACGACUGAUCAUGUUGAUCACUUUGAGAAGUUUCUUUUUAAUUUGCCAAGUCAUCCUUGCUUCUUUGUUUUGUAGAUACAAUAAAACCUCAUUAACUGUUUUGGUCUACAGAAUAAUUCAUGUCUUGUUUUUUUCUUCUACCAAAAAAAGUCUUUGUAUUUUCUUUUAUUUUAAGUAAAAGCUGUUUUAAUUUAUUUUCAAAAAAAAGUUUACACUAAGUCUCGUUAGCUCGAUUGGUAUAAGAGUCUUAGCCAAAGCAUAAAAGUCAUAAGGUCGAAUAACACUUAAGAUGAAACUAAUAUUACAUUCUUGGUUCUCGGCUUAGGAUUACAUAAUUUGACCCAAAUCCUCCUACUAAUUCAAAACCAAAAAAAAACAAAAAAGAGUUUACGUAAAUAUCUAUAUAUAUAUAUUAUAUAAAAAAUAUAAUAAUUUUUCUAUAGGUUCUAACAAUGUAAUCUACCAUUAAACUAAUAAUUUGGAUAUUAGGAACUUGAUAAGUUUAUCAUGAGUCCAAAUAUGUAACACCCCGAUCCUGGAUUCCAAAGGAAACUAAAUUAAACCAGUGGUAUUAACUAAACCUAAACUAAUAAAUGCUGAAUAAUCUUUUAUUCUUAUUCCAAACCAACCCAAAUCCAAGUCUUACAAAUAAAAAUGAAAAUGAAGUAAAUUAAUGAAACCAAAAUAAAUAGAAUAUUAUCUUAAAAAGAGAUAAAAUAGUUCUUAAAACAAAUGAAAACUUCCUCCAUCUCUGAAGGCACAUCACACUAGAGCUACUCGUCUAGUUCUUCCCAGUCAUUAUCACAAUCACACUCACACUCACCUGCAAACACGCCUGCAUUCGGCACAUCUCUACCUAAACAGAUUAUGAUCUUAUUAUUCUAACAAGCACUAACUAAUCAACAGGGUUAUCAAUCAAUUAUGUUGGUUCUUCCUCUAAUAGGAUCCUGAUUCUUAAUAUUUAUAUAAUUAUACAUGGAUCUACCUAAAUGCACAAGAAAUCAUCCUAGUCUCAUCAGAUUUAGUCUCAACACACCAGAAGAAGACAAAUGAAUAAUAAGAAAUCCUAGAUCUAAUCCUUUAAUCAUCACCUUAGCAACAAGCAGAUCUGAGAUUAGGGAGAGCUAGAAGAGGCAAGAGAGUCAAGGAACUUCUGAGAAGGAGGGGGCUGGCGAGCACUCCUUCUUCUCUCGGCAAGCGGUGGUGGCGGCGACGGCUUCCGAUCCUUCGGUGGCGGCAGCUUCUCCUUCUUCAUCUCUCUCUUUUCUUUGGUGGCUAGGAUAAUUAGAGACU